CUUCCCAUCCAACCACCGACAGCUUGCUCCCCAACCGCUUACUCCCCAUCCAACCACCGACAACUCGAUCACCAGCCGCUCGCCCCUUCUUCUCCGUCGUCGGUCGCAAGAUGGAGAACCACCGCAACUUGAGGGACUUCUUAUCCCAAGGUUGCUCUUCAUCGACGUCCAGGAACCGCACUGGUCAUGAAGCUCCCGAGGACGACGACUUCGUCACCUUCUCGCAGUCGUCGUUUGCUCUGCCACCACGCAUCAAUGUCCCAGCACUUCACAGCCGCAUUGAAGCUCUUGAUCUGAACUCCCAGUCCCAGGAUACCGAUUUUCUAUAUCUCUCAUCCUACCAAGAUGUUCUCCAGUCAGGUGAUGGUGGAUCCGACCUAGAUUUGUCUCCUCUUGGUCAUGGUAGAUCAACGCACACACUAUUUCAAUCCGCCAGAUCCAGUUCUGCUCCUAUUUCUCAUGCCCGAGGUGCAUUUCGAGGUUGCCGUGGAGUUAGGGGGAGAGGCACUAGUAGUCGUGGUGGAGGU
rnacentral:misc_RNA from 1 species